rnacentral:rRNA from 1 species
UCCUACGGGAGGCAGCAGUCGAGAAUUUUUCACAAUGGGCGACAGCCUGAUGGAGCGACGCCGCGUGGGGGAUGAAGGGCUUCGGUCCGUAAACCCCUGUCAUUUGUGAACAAAGCUUAUGACCUAAUACGUCGUAAGUUGAUAGUAGCGAAAGAGGAAGGGACGGCUAACUCUGUGCCAGCACCCGCGGUAAUA